rnacentral:rRNA from 1 species
AGGAAGCGAGAAGUCGACGCGCCGCAAGGCGUCCGGCCCUCCGCGAGCACCCGCGGGGGAUCGGGUUCCGGACCCGGUCCGAUCCCGUUCCCACCGAGGGGCUGUCCGCGAUCAUGGAGGUGUCCUCGGACGGCGUCGAAUCCUUCUCCAGUCCGCGACGCUACGGCUUGGAUGGUCCACCCGACCCGUCUUGAAACACGGACCAAGGAGUCUAACAUGCGCGCGAGUCGUUGGGUCGGACACGCUCCGCUAAACCCAUAGGCGCAAUGAAAGUGAAGGCCGCCGUCGGGCGGCCGAGGGAGGACGGGGCCGCCCGCGCGUUCCGGCGCGCGUCGGUCCCCGCACCCCCGGGGCGUCUGAUCCCUCAUCGCGAGGGGAGGCGCACCCAGAGCGCACACGUUGGGACCCGAAAGAUGGUGAACUAUGCCUGGCCAGGACGAAGUCAGGGGAAACCCUGAUGGAGGUCCGUAGCGAUUCUGACGUGCAAAUCGAUCGUCGGAGCUGGGUAUAGGGGCGAAAGACUAAUCGAACCAUCUAGUAGCUGGUUCCCUCCGAAGUUUCCCUCAGGAUAGCUUGCGCUCGGAGGAGAGUCUCAUCCGGUAAAGCGAAUGAUUAGAGGCCUUGGGGCCGAAACGGCUUCAACCUAUUCUCAAACUUUAAAUGGGUGAGAACUCCGGCUUGCUCGACUUGUCGAAGCCGGAGACGGGGCUCCGGCCCCCGGGAUCGGAGUGCAUAGUGGGCCACUUUUGGUAAGCAGAACUGGCGCUGUGGGAUGAACCAAACGACGGGUUAAGGCGCCCGAAUCGACGCUCAUGGGAAACCAUGAAAGGUGUUGGUUGCUUAAGACAGCAGGACGGUGGCCAUGGAAGUCGGAAUCCGCUAAGGAGUGUGUAAUAACUCACCUGCCGAAGCAACUAGCCCUGAAAAUGGAUGGCGCUGAAGCGUCGUGCCUAUACCCGGCCGUCGCGGCAGGGCGGACCCGCGAGGGUGCCGUUCGAUGCGGCGACGAGUAGGAGGGUCGCGGCGGCGCGCGCAGAAGGGUCUGGGCUCGAGCCUGCCUGGAGCCGCCGCCGGUGCAGAUCUUGGUGGUAGUAGCAAAUACUCCAGCGAGGCCCUGGAGGACUGAUGUGGAGAAGGGUUUCGUGUGAACAGCCGUUGCACACGAGUCAGUCGAUCCUAAGCCCUAGGAGAAAUCCGACGCCAACGGCGACGGGAAAAACGAACGAAAGAAACCCGUUGAUCGGGCGAAAGGGAAUCCGGUUCCUAUUCCGGAACCCGGCAGCGGAACCGCUGUUUGUCGGGCCCUCACAAGGGGUUCGUCAGGGUAACCUAAAAGGGCCCGGAGACGCCGUCGGGAGCCCCGGAAAGAGUUUUCUUUUCUGCAUGAGCGUUCGAGUUCCCUG